UAGUAGCGUAUAUUAAAGUUGUUGCAGUUAAAAAGCUCGUAGUUGGAUUUCUGGCUUUGCAUUUGCGGUCUGUGGCGCGACUCGUAAUGUUGCGUGUUCUAGAUCCUAAUGUGGCCAUCCUUUCCACGUGCGGCGGCGCCUGCCCUUGAUUGGGUUCGGGCGCCGGCGUGUGGAACAAUUACUUUGAACAAAUUAGAGUGUUUCAAGCAGGCAUUGAUUGCCGUUGAAUAGUAUAGCAUGGAAUAAUAAGAUAGGACUUUGGUUUUAUUUUGUUGGUUUCUGAAAACUGAAGUAAUGAUUGAUAGAGGCAAUUGGGGGUGCUUGUAUUGACUGGCCAGAGGUGAAAUUCUUGGAUUCUGUCAAGACAAACUAAUGCGAAAGCAUUCGCCAAGGGUGUGCUCUUUA
rnacentral:rRNA from 1 species